GAUGAACGCUGGCGGCGUGCCUAAUACAUCCAAGUCGAGCGAACGGACGAGAAGCUUGCUUCUCUGAUGUUAGCGGCGGACGGGUGAGUAACACGUGGAUAACCUACCUAUAAGACUGGGAUAACUUCGGGAAACCGGAGCUAAUACCGGAUAAUAUUUUGAACCGCAUGGUUCAAAAGUGAAAGACGGUCUUGCUGUCACUUAUAGAUGGAUCCGCGCUGCAUUAGCUAGUUGGUAAGGUAACGGCUUACCAAGGCAACGAUGCAUAGCCGACCUGAGAGGGUGAUCGGCCACACUGGAACUGAGACACGGUCCAGACUCCUACGGGAGGCAGCAGUAGGGAAUCUUCCGCAAUGGGCGAAAGCCUGACGGAGCAACGCCGCGUGAGUGAUGAAGGUCUUCGGAUCGUAAAACUCUGUUAUUAGGGAAGAACAUAUGUGUAAGUAACUGUGCACAUCUUGACGGUACCUAAUCAGAAAGCCACGGCUAACUACGUG
rnacentral:rRNA from 1 species